UACGGAGGGUGCGAGCGUUGUCCGGAAUCAUUGGGCGUAAAGGGCGCGUAGGUGGCGGGACAAGCGUGCGGUGAAAGCUCGGGGCUCAACCCCGAGUCGGCCGUGCGAACUGUUUUGCUUGAGCACUGUAGAGGCAGGCGGAAUUCCGGGUGUAGCGGUGGAAUGCGUAGAGAUCCGGAAGAACACCGGUGGCGAAGGCGGCCUGCUGGGCAGUAGCUGACACUGAGGCGCGACAGCGUGGGGAGCGAACGAGG
rnacentral:rRNA from 1 species